rnacentral:rRNA from 1 species
UACGGGGGGGGCAAGCGUUUGUUCGGAAUUACUGGGCGUAAAGGGUUUGUAGGUGGCUUGUUAAGUCAGACGUGAAAUCCCACGGCUCAACCAUGGAAGUGCACUCGAAACUGCAGGGCUAGAGUCCUGGAGAGGAAGGUGGAAUGCUUGGUGUAGAGGUGAAAUUCGUAGAUAUCGAGAGGAACACCUGCGGCGAAGGCGGGUUGCUGGGCUGACACUGACGCUGAUGCGCGAAAGCUAGGGGGAGCGAACGGG